CUUUUCUUGUUAGUUUUUGAAGUAUGGCCUGCCCACUGACUUGGAGUUGAAGGGCCGCGGUAUUUUGACCGUGCAAAGGUAGCAUAAUCAUUAGUUCUUUAAUUGUGAUCUGGUAUGAAUGGCUUGACGAGACAUAAGCUGUCUUGGGGGUAUUGGUUUAUUGAAUUUGGUUUUUGAGUUAAAAUUCUUAGAUGUUUUUAUGGGACGAGAAGACCCUAUAGAGUUUGACAAUUUUCUUAUUUAUUCAUUGUUUGUUUUAUUUACAUUGAGUGGGAAUAUAUUGUUUUGUUGGGGUGAUGGGAGGAAUAUUAUUUAACUCCUCUUUGUUUUUAUAUAUUUAUUUAUAUAUUUUUGAUCCAUUUAUUUUGAUUAUAAGAUUAAAUUACC
rnacentral:rRNA from 1 species